GAUGAACGCUGGCGGCGUGCCUAACACAUGCAAGUCGAGCGAUUCUCUUCGGAGAAGAGCGGCGGACGGGUGAGUAACGCGUGGGUAACAUGCCCUGUACACACGGAUAACAUACCGAAAGGGAUGCUAAUACGAGAUAAUAUGCUUUUAUCGCAUGGUAGAAGUAUCAAAGCUCCGGCGGUACAGGAUGGACCCGCGUCUGAUUAGCUAGUUGGUAAGGUAAAGGCUUACCAAGGCGACGAUCAGUAGCCGACCUGAGAGGGUGAUCGGCCACAUUGGAACUGAGACACGGUCCAAACUCCUACGGGAGGCCGCAGUGGGGAAUAUUGCACAAUGGGCGAAAGCCUGAUGCAGCAACGCCGCGUGAGCGAUGAAGGCCUUCGGGUCGUAAAGCUCUGUCCUCAAGGAAGAUAAUGACGGUACUUGAGGGGGAAGCCCCGGCUAACUACGUGCCAGCCGCCGCCGUAA
rnacentral:rRNA from 1 species